UACGUAGGGUGCAAGCGUUGUCCGGAAUUAUUGGGCGUAAAGGGCUCGUAGGCGGUCUGUCGCGUCGGUCGUGAAAACUUGGGGGCUUAACCCUGAGCUUGCGGUCGAUACGGGCAUGACUGGAGUUCGGCAGGGGAGACUGGAAUUCCUGGUGUAGCGGUGAAAUGCGCAGAUAUCAGGAGGAACACCAGAGGCGAAGGCGGCCGACUGGACCUGACCUGACGCUGAGGCGCGAAGGCGUGGGGAGCGAACGGG
rnacentral:rRNA from 1 species